rnacentral:rRNA from 1 species
AUUGAACGCUGGCGGCAGGCUUAACACAUGCAAGUCGAGCGGGGGAAGGUAGCUUGCUACUGGACCUAGCGGCGGACGGGUGAGUAAUGCUUAGGAAUCUGCCUAUUAGUGGGGGACAACAUCUCGAAAGGGAUGCUAAUACCGCAUACGUCCUACGGGAGAAAGCAGGGGAUCUUCGGUCUCGCGCUAAUAGGUGAGCCUAAGUCAGAUUAGCUAGUUGGUGGGGUAAAGGCCUACCAAGGCGACGAUCUGUAGCGGGUCUGAGAGGAUGAUCCGCCACACUGGGACUGAGACACGGCCCAGACUCCUACGGGAGGCAGCAGUGGGGAAUAUUGGACAAUGGGGGGAACCCUGAUCCAGCCAUGCCGCGUGUGUGAAGAAGGCCUUAUAGUUGUAAAGCACUUUAAGCGAGGAGGAGGCUACUCUAGUUAAUACCUAGGGAUAGUGGACGUUACUCGCAGAAUAAGCACCGGCUAACUCUGUGCCAGCCGCCGCAGUAA